UACGAAGGGGGCUAGCGUUGCUCGGAAUUACUGGGCGUAAAGCGCACGUAGGCGGCUUUCUAAGUCAGGGGUGAAAUCCUGGAGCUCAACUCCAGAACUGCCUUUGAUACUGGAGAGCUUGAGUCCGGGAGAGGUGAGUGGAACUCCGAGUGUAGAGGUGAAAUUCGUAGAUAUUCGGAAGAACACCAGUGGCGAAGGCGGCUCACUGGCCCGGUACUGACGCUGAGGUGCGAAAGCGUGGGGAGCAAACAGG
rnacentral:rRNA from 1 species